GCUGGCGGCAUGCCUUACACAUGCAAGUCGAUCGGUAACGCGGGGGCAACCCUGGCGACGAGUGGCGAACGGGUGAGCAAUACAUCGGAACGUGUCCUGUUGUGGGGGAUAACCCAUCGAAAGGUGAGCUAAUACCGCAUGAUCUGGAGACAGCAAAGCAGGGGCCCGGAAACGGCCUUGCGCGAUUGGAGCGGCCGAUGUCCGAUUAGCUAGUUGGUGGGGUAAAGGCCCACCAAGGCAACGAUCGGUAGCUGGUCUGAGAGGAUGAUCAGCCACACUGGGACUGAGACACGGCCCAGACUCCUACGGGAGGCAGCAGUGGGGAAUUUUGGACAAUGGGGGCAACCCUGAUCCAGCCAUGCCGCGUGAGUGAAGAAGGCCUUCGGGUUGUAAAGCUCUUUCGGUGGGAACGAAACGGUGGAGGUUAAUACCUUCCACUACUGACGGUACUCACAAAAGAAGCACCGGCUAACUACGUGCCAGCAGCCGCGGUAAUACGUAGGGUGCGAGCGUUAAUCGGAAUUACUGGGCGUAAAGCGUGCGCAGGCGGUUACUUAAGUCAGGUGUGAAAGCCCUGGGCUUAACCUAGGAAUUGCGCUUGAGACUGGGUAGCUUUGAGUGUGGCAGAGGGAGGUGGAAUUCCACGUGUAGCAGUGAAA
rnacentral:rRNA from 1 species